rnacentral:rRNA from 1 species
UACGUAGGGUGCAAGCGUUAAUCGGAAUUACUGGGCGUAAAGCGUGCGCAGGCGGCUAUGCAAGACAGAUGUGAAAUCCCCGGGCUCAACCUGGGAACUGCAUUUGUGACUGCAUGGCUAGAGUACGGUAGAGGGGGAUGGAAUUCCGCGUGUAGCAGUGAAAUGCGUAGAUAUGCGGAGGAACACCGAUGGCGAAGGCAAUCCCCUGGACCUGUACUGACGCUUAUGCACGAAAGCGUGGGGAGCAAACAGG